AGUGUAUUAUGUUGUACCAUCACACAACAGUUGUAGAAGUAAUUUCGAAACCACUAAGCUUAAAAUAGAUGAAUUGUACACUAUGAGACAUCUUAAAAUCGAUGACCUUUUUUUGUUUUUAUUAAUGGAUCUUUUUAUCCUGCUCUAUUUUACAGAUCACUUGCGUUGUUCUGUUAUUAGCCGUGGCAGCUUAUGUCACAGCUUUGCCACAUGGAGGCUACGGUGGGGGCUACGGUCACGGGUACAGUGGCUGGGGUGGACAUGGUGGAUACGGUGGUCAUGGUGGCUACGGACAUGGCUAUGGACAUGGCUACGGACAUGGAUAUGGACACGGCUAUGGCCACGGUGGUUACGGACAUCACCACCACGGAUAUCACCACCACCAUUGACACGAAAUACACGGAUGUUAGAUACUGUUAUUUACAUUGUAUAAGUUAUAGAUAAUAAAUAUGUUAUUUUGAAAAGUA